rnacentral:rRNA from 1 species
UACGAAGGGGACUAGCGUUGUUCGGAAUUACUGGGCGUAAAGCGCACGUAGGCGGAUUUGUUAGUCAGGGGUGAAAUCCCGGGGCUCAACCUCGGAACUGCCUUUGAUACUGCAAAUCUCGAGUCCGAUAGAGGUGGGUGGAAUUCCUAGUGUAGAGGUGAAAUUCGUAGAUAUUAGGAAGAACACCGGUGGCGAAGGCGGCCCACUGGAUCGGUACUGGACGCUGAGGUGCGAAAGCGUGGGGAGC